UUUGAGUGGUCGGAAGACUAGAAAGGCGCUAUACAAGUACAGGUCCAUUUAUCAUUUACCAUUUCAUCGUCAUCACCAUCAGUUACUACUGUUGUGUAGUUGUUGCUAUUGCUUUGCUUGUCUGUCUCUGUCCUUUCUGUCCUUUCUGUGUCUCUCUCUCUCUCUCUCUCUCUCUCUCUCUCUCUCUCUCACGCACCCCAACUGGUUGAGGCAGACGACCACCCACCUAGAGCUGACGGGUCUGUCCUAGGUUUCUGCCUCUUUGAAAGAUUUUUUCCUUGCCCCUGUCGCCAAAGGUCUUGCUCAUGGUGGUACUGUUGGGUCUCUGUAAUUAAUGUUAUAAAGAGUUCGGUGUAGACCUGCUCUAUUUGAAAAGUGUCCUGAGAUAACUUCUGUUAUGAAUUGGCGCUAUACAAAUAAAAUUGAAUUGAAUUUAAAAAUUAAA